rnacentral:rRNA from 1 species
AUUCCUACGGGAGGCAGCAGUAGGGAAUCUUCCGCAAUGGACGAAAGUCUGACGGAGCAACGCCGCGUGAGUGAAGAAGGUUUUCGAAUCGUAAAACCCUGUUGUUAAAGAAGAACAAGGAUGAGAGUAACUGCUCAUCCCCUGACGGUAUUUAACCAGAAAGCCACGGCUAACUACGUGCCAGCAGCUGCGGUAAUACGUAGGUGGCAAGCGUUGUCCGGAUUUAUUGGGCGUAAAGCGAGCGCAGGCGGUUCUUUAAGUCUGAUGUGAAAGCCCCCGGCUCAACCGGGGAGGGUCAUUGGAAACUGGAGAACUUGAGUGCAGAAGAGGAGAGUGGAAUUCCACGUGUAGCGGUGAAAUGCGUAGAUAUGUGGAGGAACACCAGUGGCGAAGGCGACUCUCUGGUCUGUAACUGACGCUGAGGCUCGAAAGCGUGGGAAGAAAACAGGAUUAGAUACCCUGGUAGUCCACGCCGUAAACGAUGAGUGCUAAGUGUUGGAGGGUUUCCGCCCUUCAGUGCUGCAGCUAACGCAUUAAGCACUCCGCCUGGGGAGUACGGCCGCAAGGCUGAAACUCAAAGGAAUUGACGGAAU